AUGAAUUUAGUGAUGAAGUGUGUUGAGAAUGAAUAUGGAUAUAGAAACGAUGGUCCUUUAUGGCUUCCUUGUGAGGUUGACUUGUUCAAUGAAGCAGUUGUGGAGAUAGAGAGUGCUGUUGGUUGCAUCUUUCCAGUUUCACGUUCUUCAUUGUCCUGUCGUUCUAACCUCAGUUGUGCUGCCAAUUACCAGAUUUUGGUAUAA